AUUGAACGCUGGCGGAAUGCUUUACACAUGCAAGUCGAACGGCAGCACGGGGGCAACCCUGGUGGCGAGUGGCGAACGGGUGAGUAAUACAUCGGAACGUGCCCAGUCGUGGGGGAUAACUACGCGAAAGCGUAGCUAAUACCGCAUACGAACUCUGGUUGAAAGCGGGGGAUCGCAAGACCUCGCGCGAUUGGAGCGGCCGAUGGCAGAUUAGGUAGUUGGUGGGGUAAAGGCUCACCAAGCCGACGAUCUGUAGCUGGUCUGAGAGGACGACCAGCAACACUGGGACUGAGACACGGCCCAGACUCCUACGGGAGGCAGCAGUGGGGAAUUUUGGACAAUGGGCGCAAGCCUGAUCCAGCCAUUCCGCGUGCAGGAUGAAGGCCCUCGGGUUGUAAACUGCUUUUGUACGGAACGAAACGCGCCGGGUUAAUACCCUGGCGUAAUGACGGUACCGUAAGAAUAAGCACCGGCUAACUACGUGCCAGCAGCCGCGGUAACAC
rnacentral:rRNA from 1 species